UGAGGUCAUGCAUAGAAUGCAAUUCAGGCACCCCUCCUGGAUGUGGACCCCCAGCCUCCAACGCGAUCCUGAUCACACCAGCUUUGGGGCCAAUGCAAGCACCAGUGUCCUGAGCACUGUGCAGCUCUGAAAUGAAGGAAGUGGAAGGGACAGAAAGCACAGGUUCCUGCACUGCACUCAGCAAUUACACAAUCCCAUAUCUGCAA